rnacentral:rRNA from 1 species
GAGAAGUGCUUUAGCAAUAAGAACCCGGUGACAGGUGCUGCAUGGCUGUCGUCAGCUCGUGUCGUGAGAUGUUGGGUUAAGUCCCGCAACGAGCGCAACCCUCGCCUUUAGUUGCCAGCAUUCAGUUGGGCACUCUAGAGGGACUGCCGGUGUCAAACCGGAGGAAGGUGGGGAUGACGUCAAGUCCUCAUGGCCUUUAUGUCUAGGGCUACACACGUACUACAAUGGCCGGUACAAAGGGCAGCCACUCAGCGAUGAGGCGCUAAUCCCAUAAAGCCGGUCUCAGUCCGGAUCGCAGUCUGCAACUCGACUGCGUGAAGUUGGAGUCGCUAGUAAUCGUAGAUCAGCAUGCUACGGUGAAUACGUUCCCGGGCCUU